rnacentral:rRNA from 1 species
GGGUGCCAUCAUACCAGAGUUAAUGCAACAGAUCCCAUCGGAACUCUAUAGUUAAGCACACUUGGGAU